GCGCCGGUGGUGUAAUGGCGUAGAGCAUUCCCCCCCGGUUAGAGGGAGGUGCGGGUUCGAGUCCCGCCUGGCGCU
rnacentral:tRNA from 1 species